rnacentral:misc_RNA from 1 species
GCAAAGUGGGGAUACCUCCACACCUGUAAUAGAUCAAGUGUUAACCAUGAUGCAUGAUUAUGCUUACCGUCAAGAAUACUUUCAGAAGUAAAAAUUUAUGUAGCCUAGGUGUUAUUGAGAGCAGCAGCUUGGCUUGGAUGACUUGAUACUACUUUGAGUGGUUUUAAACGAGACCCCAAAUUGUUUCAUUUUUCCCCUUCUCUGCGGAUACAGCUCAGGUAAAAUAAUGGGCUAUCCCUCAACUCCCUCCAUCACAAAGGAAAUGAAGAAUAUGAAAAAUUCAAGACAUUAAUGAAGGCAAAAACUUAGCUAGGUCUCUAGUAUCAUAAUAAGAGACUGCAGCAAGCUAGUUAGCGCCUUCAAUCCCUGCUUAAAGCAGGCCUAAAAUCCAGGCUUCUAAUGAUCCAUCUGGCUCCACAAUCUGCGUAGUCUAAAGUAACACCUAAUCUAAGUGGAAGGAAAAACAAAAAAGCAACACCUAUUCUCCCUCCAAUCUUUUCCUUGGCUUUAAUUUACCCCGUUAUAAAUGUGCACUCAGUUUUUUCUGUUUUAAUUAAUUUUUUUAAAAAAACUCUGAUAAAGCAUAUAAAAUAGAGCAUGAAGUUACCAGUAGCAUAUAAGGGCACUG